GACGAACGCUGGCGGCGUGCUUAACACAUGCAAGUCGAACGGAAAGGCCCCUUUGGGGUUACUCGAGUGGCGAACGGGUGAGUAACACGUGAGUAACCUUCCCUUGACUUCGGUAUAACUUCAGGAAACUGGGGCUAAUACCGGAUAGGAAUCCUUGCUGCAUGGGGGGGGUUGGAAAGCUUCGGCGGUUUUGGAUGGACUCGCGGCUUAUCAGCUUGUUGGUGGGGUAGUGGCUUACCAAGGCUUUGACGGGUAGCCGGCCUGAGAGGGCGACCGGCCAUACUGGGACUGAGAUGAGGCCCAGACUCCUACGGGAGGAAGAAGUGGGGAAUAUUGAACAAUGGGCGCAAGCCUGAUGCAGAAACGCCGCGUGUGGGAUGACGGCCUUCUGGUUGUAAACAGCUUUCAGCAGGGGACCAGCUUGUGGUGACGGUACCUGAAGAAGAAGCACCGGCUAACUACGUG
rnacentral:rRNA from 1 species